CCCCUCUGUCACCACCAUCAUCAUCAUCACCAUCCUCCUCCUCCUCCAGCGCUAUGAUGCUGCAUCUCAUCCCAGCAGCUGUAAUAAUGUGUGUCAGUGUGUUAGUGAACGGACAACCGGAGGACUCCAGACUGACCGACAGAGCUUAUGUUGUUUUACAGAAACAAAAUUUAGUCACUCUGGGGAGUGUCCUCGCUGUCCUGCUGGUGCUGAUGGUCAUCAUGGCUGUCUGUGUCUACAAGCCGCUGUCUCGUCGGUGAAAUCUGGAGGAGACAGACUGAGAGACAGACCUGCUGUCCUCAGCCCUGGAGACACAACCACCUCCUGAAGGGACCAGCUCCUCCACACAGCUGCCAAUAACAGAAAAACACCCAGACUGCACAAAUAUAUAUAAUAACUGGGGUUUCAUUAGUCAUGAAAUCAAGUUAUUUAAGAGUUACUGUAUGUUUGGAUGCGUCAGACUAUCACUCCUACCUAUUUUGAUAUGCUGUAAUGUCUUUGUUUAAUUUAAUAUGACAAUAUGAUAAGUUAUUUGCCCAUUUGUACUCCCAAUACUCUCUAGGCUAUUACAUAUUAUUUAUUUAUAUGUAUUUAUUUGGAUUUCACAUCUUAAGGAAAUGCUGUGUUUCUUUGCGUAUUAAGGUGUUAAGUGUUUGUCUUAUUAUUAUUAUUGGAGGGAAAUAUGGUCAGUAAGCUUGGAGUUCUGCAACCUUUAAAUACAUUUGCAGUAAGUGGGAUUAUAAAGUGAGAGAGAUGUCAUUGCUUAAAUCUUAAUCAAAUUCAAUUUGGUCAGAUUUAUUUCUCCAAAUCUGCUCAUCAGAUUUCUGAAAUUAACUGUAAACCUAUUUGUUUGUUUUUUUAUUUGAUUGCAUGACACAUAAGGACUUUCAAUCUAAAAGUUGUAAAUAGUUGAAUUUUGUUUACCUUUAACGUGAAGUUUUGUAUUAUUGACCCUUUAAAAAGGAAAUGUGCUAAUAAUAAUAAAUCCUGCAAAAAUAAAUCCAGUGAUACCAAGAAAUAACUCAGAUUUUUUUUUCCCUUAAAGUGAAAAUCUGCUAAAUUUCCUGAAAUAAAACUGUAAAUCUACA